rnacentral:rRNA from 1 species
GACGAACGCUGGCGGCGUGCCUAAUACAUGCAAGUCGAACGCAGUUGCGAACGGGUGAGUAACGCGUAGGUAACCUGCCUCAUAGCGGGGGAUAACUAUUGGAAACGAUAGCUAAUACCGCAUACUGUAUGAUGGACCUGCGUUGUAUUAGCUAGUUGGUGGGGGAAAGGCUCACCAAGGCAACGAUACAUAGCCGACCUGAGAGGGUGUUCGGCCACAGUGGGACUGAGACACGGCCCAGACUCCUACGGGAGGCAGCAGUAGGGAAUCUUCCGCAAUGGACGAAAGUCUGACCGAGCAACGCCGCGUGAGUGAAGAAGGUUUUCGGAUCGUAAAGCUCUGUUGUUAGAGAAGCGGUAUCUAACCAGAAAGCCACGGCUAACUACGUGCCAGCCGCCGCGGUAAUUC